AUGAGAUCGGGGAGAUUGACAGCCCUGUCCGCCAAACGACAAGCGGGCGGGCCCCUCGGCGCCGCGGGGGCAGCUGGGAGUUGUAGUUCUCGGGACGUGGCCGUCGAUCGAAAGAGGUCCCGGGCCUUCCUUACCCUGCCGUUGCAAGGCAAGCGGGCUCCCUUCUUCCUCCCUCUCCCCCGCCCUCCUGGCGCUCAAACAGUAGCAGGUUGCAAGAGCCGCAGGAGGCAAGGAGGAAGCGGUGGGGAGUUGCCCAGAGAGAGCUUGCCUCCCGGGCGUUGUCGUGCGUGGCCAUUGGCAGCAAAUAGCCGGAGGAGGCAGACGUACAAGGCGGCUGCCAAGAAGUGGAGGCCGAGACCCCAUCAGGACCCCCAUUUCGCACUCCGCAUUUUGCCGGCCGCCGCUGGCCUCGCAGCCUGUGUCCGGCCGCACUGGAGGAGGUUGAGGACUCAGGGGGCACUUCCAGCCCCAGAACCCUCCUUGACCCCAACGACCCCUGGGACGUCCCACCCCCGACCCCGGGCAUGGGCGCCAGCCCCGAGGCCCCCGCGAGCCCCUUGGAGGGCGAGACCCCGGCCCCCCGACCCAAAGCCCCGGGGCGGAGGAAGCACCGGCGGCGGCCGUCGAAGCAGAAGCGGCCCCGGCGCCCCUACCUGCAGCUGAGCUGGGCCGAGAAGCAGCAGCGGGACGAACGCCAGAGCCAGCGGGCCUCCCGCCUGCGGGCGCAGAUGUUCGCCAAGGGCCAGCCGGCGGCCCCCUGCAACACCACCCAGUUCCUCAUGGACGACCACGACCAGGAGGAGCCCGACCUGGGCGCCCCGCCGGGGCCGCCCCGGCCGGGCCCGGGCGUCGAGGAGGCCGAGGCGGGCGACAGCGACGGCGGGGGCGGGCGCAGGGCGAGUUCCUGCAGAGGGACUUCUCGGAGACCUACGAGAGGUACCAGGCGGAGAGCCUGCAGAACAUGAGCAAGCAGGACCUCAUCCGCGAGUACCUGGAGCUGGAGAAGCGGCUGUCGCGGGCCGAGGAGGAGAAGCGGAGGCUGCGGCGGCGCCGGGCCCGGGAGCUGGAGGCCCAGGUCCGGGGGCUGCGGGCCCAGAACCGGCGGCUCCGGGAGGAGAAGGAGGCCCGGGGCCGAGAGGCCGGGGGGCCUGGGGAUGAGGGGGCCGGCUCCUAGGGAUCCCCCUCUCUCCCACCCCGCAGCAGUGAGAGGAGCUGAAGCCUCGAGCGUGUGGGUAUCCAUCCCGCCUUCAGCCCCACACCACUCACAUUCAUAUCCUUUUAUUUAUUCACAGUAACGUCGGGCUCCCCCUCUAGACUGGAAGCUCCUUGUGGGCAGGGAACAUGUUUACCCACUCUGUUGUAUGUGCUCCCCCAAGCUCAGCACAGUGCUCCGCACACAGUAAGGGGUCAAUAAAUACUGUGGACUGAUUGAUGGAUUCCUAGUGGUUAGCCCCCCCCCCCCCCCGU
rnacentral:lncRNA from 1 species